AUUGAACGCUGGCGGCAGGCCUAACACAUGCAAGUCGAGCGAGCGGCGGACGGGUGAGUAAUGUCUGGGAAACUGCCCGUUGGCGGGGGAUAACUACUGGAAACGGUAGCUAAUACCGCAUACCAUCAGAUGUGCCCAGAUGGGCUUAGCUUGUAGGUGGGGUAACGGCUCACCUAGGCGACGAUCCCUAGCUGGUCUGAGAGGAUGACCAGCCACACUGGAACGGAGACACGGUCCAGACUCCUACGGGAGGCAGCAGUGGGGAAUAGUGCACAAUGGGCGCGAGCCUGAUGCAGCCAUGCCGCGUGUGUGAAGAAGGCCUUCGGGUUGUAAAGCACGUUCAGCGGGGAGGCGUUACCCGCAGAAGAAGCACCGGCUAACUCCGUGCCAGCAGCCGCGGUAAUUC
rnacentral:rRNA from 1 species